GGAUGUGAAGGCGAUCUGGCUCUGAAAUCUGUCACCUCAUUGCUUGCCAGGACUGAUUUGGCUGAUCUGGUUGGUUAGGCAGGUGUCUCAUCCUCCCUCAAUGCCCCAAGUGUAUUGGCCUGAAGCUGAGUAUGUUGUUGGAGAGGAUGACCUUCCCCAUUAGAGGACGGUUCUUUGGUCAAAGGUAUAUGAAUAGCUAUGCUUCACUGCUAGAACCUCCAAAAAUACUCAAGUAUAUUUGCCAUAUUAAAUUUGAUUAACAGUCUAUCAAUUUAUUUUAUUUAAAAUUUUCUACACACAAUAUAUUU
rnacentral:snRNA from 1 species